rnacentral:rRNA from 1 species
AGAGUUUGAUCCUGGCUCAGAACGAACGCUGGCGGCGUGCCUAACACAUGCAAGUCGUACGAGAAAAUCCGCUUCGGCGGGUGAGUAGAGUGGCGCACGGGUGAGUAACGCGUGGAUAAUCUGCCUUUAAGCUGGGAAUAACUCACCGAAAGGUGGGCUAAUACCCGAUAAUGCUAUGGGACUUCGGUUUUAUAGCCAAAGAGAGCCUCUACAUGUAAGCCUUCACUUAAAGAUGAGUCCGCGUACCAUUAGCUAGUUGGUAGGGUAAUGGCCUACCAAGGCGACGAUGGUUAGCUGGUCUGAGAGGAUGAUCAGCCACACUGGAACUGAGACACGGUCCAGACUCCUACGGGAGGCAGCAGUGAGGAAUAUUGCGCAAUGGGGGCAACCCUGACGCAGCAACGCCGCGUGAGCGAGGAAGGUCUUCGGAUCGUAAAGCUCUGUCGGGUGGGAAGAAGUGUGCAUAGGUUAAUAGCUUGUGCACUUGACGGUACCGCCAAAGGAAGCACCGGCUAACUCCGUGCCAGCAGCCGCGGUAAUACGGGGGGUGCGAGCGUUGUUCGGAAUCAUUGGGCGUAAAGAGCGUGUAGGCGGCUAGGCAAGUCAGAUGUGAAAUCCCUGGGCUUAACCCAGGAAGUGCAUUUGAAACUGCUUAGCUUGAGUAAGGAAGAGGGAAGUGGAAUUCCUGGUGUAGAGGUGAAAUUCGUAGAUAUCGGGAGGAACACCAGUGGCGAAGGCGGUUUCCUGGCCUGAUACUGACGCUGAGGCGCGAAAGCGUGGGGAGCAAACAGGAUUAGAUACCCUGGUAGUCCACGCUGUAAACGGUG